UUUCAGUCUAAAAAAGAAGAAAAUAUAAACAGUUUAAACUGUUUUAAAUGUUUGUUUUUAGCUUUUAAAUCCUUAAAUGUGAGCAGCGUGGACGAUUGGUGGGCGGAGCCUGAUCAGAAAUGUGUUUUUUUUCUAAAUACAGAUAAAGUUUGAAGUUACAGGUUCUGGCCCGGGUCGAGGCGCUGAUCAACGAGCUGAUCCGUGAAGAGUUUGAGGAAACACCAGCUGCUGGAUCCAGAACAGUCCAGAACCGGGUCCAGGUCCAAGGAGAUUAAAUAAAUCCAGAGUUUAAUCUCUGUUUCUCCUUUUUUAAAACUUUUUAUUUAGGUUUUAAUUCGCCCCCGUCGAUCCCGCCUCCGAAGCACAACAAAUCUUCCAGUGCCUGUUGCCAUGAUGACCGAAACGAGCCUCUUUCACAAAACAUUUCUGCGACCCGAGGACGAGCCGGCCCCUCGGCUGCCUCUGGUCCCGCCCCCCCCGGCGGUGCUGUUACCACCUCAGACACGUGACAGCAGCGGGUUAACCUGAAGCCCCGCCCCCUCCCCWUCCCAGUGUUUGGUGAAAGAGGCUGAACUCCUGCCGAGCUACAAUCACAUCCCAAAGUUGUACAGAGCUGAGGUUUUCUACAGGACCUGCCCUCAGAUCCAGAAUGUAAAUGUGUCAGAUUAUAAUCCUGUAGAUUAUCAUAGAUUAGUGUAGCUGUGGUGUUUUAUAGCAKUUAGACACAUUAAGCUCUUGUUCCAUCAGCUGAUGGUGGAAAUCACUUCGUUUAUAAAUUAUCACUAAUUAAAGGGCUGGUUCAAAAGUUUAAAUCCUCCAGUUUUACCAAUUUUUAAUCUGGAUUAACGCCUGAAGGUCUUUAUUACAACRACACAGCCAUAAACCAACCUUUAUUAAAUACAUUAAGCUUCUUGUUACGACUUUAUAAUAUUUUAUAUCUUUAUAAUAUUAUAUUAAAUUAUCUGAAUCUAUCUGAAAAACAUGGCUUCUAAUCUGAGACCUGCCAGCCAAUCAGAAACCAGAUCAGGUCUCAGCGGAGACACACCUGGGUCGUGUUCCUCCAUGGAGAAAAAUAGUUCCUGAUGUGCGUCUAARUCUGAACACAAACCAAACAUUAAGUGCAAAAAACAUGUUCGCUUGCUAGUUUGUUAGCUCACUAGGUUGUUAACUCGUUAGCUUAUCUUGCUACCUUCUUAGCUAGCUAGAUUGUUAGCUUGAUAGCUUGUUAGYUUGCUAGCUCGUUAGCUCGGUAAACGAAGAAGAGCAACAGUAGGUGGCGCCACUUCUCCACUCUGCACCGUUGAUUUAUUAGAAAAUUUAAACGACA